GGUUGUAUACUUUUAUUGCGUGUAAACUUGUGGCCAAACAGGCGUAAUUUAUGGCCGAUUGAAGAUUAUCCAAAAUUAAAAAGACGAGGAAUGAUAAAUUUUAAAAUUUUUUUAAAAAACACUGAGGAACCCGUUUCAAAAUGUACGAUCGUUUAUGGAGCUCUAUGCAAUUUUAUCUAUUUGAAGAUGAGAAAUGCUACAGAAACAUCCUAAAGUGGGGUGUACAUCUUACACCUAUUCUAUUUUAAAGUCAUUCGUAUCAUAUUAAUUUUUUUUAAUUUUUACUAAAAACUAAUUCGGUUUUUAUCAAUCCUAAAAUUACAAGCGUAAGAUCUAUACAUCUUUUUUGGGUCUAUAAGAAGUAUUUUUCUUCGAAGAUUUUUCAGUAGUCUUAUAAAUGUAACUAAUAAAAAUCAGCUCAUUUUUUAUAUAUGAGGUGUGCAUCAUACAACUCUUUUGAGGUGAAUAUAUAGUGUUUUCCGACCUAUAAGUUUGUUUGCUCCUGUCGCUUGUUCUCCGCAUAGGAAGAGAGAAGAAUUGAGAUUGCCUGGCACAUAAAACGUUCAGCUUCCUUCUCCGCCGACCCUUUGAUUUCGUAACUCUAACUCUAACCACUUCAUCUUCUUGUCUCUUUCCCUCCUUCUUUCCUCUGAGUGAGUCGGAAACUCCUCAAAACCUUAAUCCGAGAAAGAAGAAGAAGAACCUGUUCGACAUGGUGAAUUUUCUUUCCGACUGGGGGAUUGGCUAUAAGGUAGCG
rnacentral:lncRNA from 1 species